GUACGACACGAACGUUGUUCAUUUUGCAGCAGUCAUGAGUUUUCAAAUCGCAUAUUGUGGAAGUGAAUGUUUCGAAAUCGAUGAACAGAAAGAACACAGUGAAAAUAAGGACACCAAUAUUCAGACCAGAUUUCAAAACAAUACAGAGGACGAAAAAAUCGGCGAAGGCGACAAAAGCAUUGCCACCGAGGUAACAUCAACAUGGCUAAACUUUUCAUUAAAGCUUCAUGCUUUCGUAAAUACCAGCUACAACCCGUAUAUAGAUGAUAUUACUGAUGAUAAAGUUGAUAACAAAAUUCAACGUAGAAGAAAUUGCGCUCAGUUUGUUCAAAAACAAGUUGCAAAUGAAAGUAAAUCUUGCUUAUUUCCGAUUGUUUCUUGACACAUUAUAACGGACUCCAAGACAAUGGAAACAGGCACUAUCACCUUGGAUGAAAGACUGACAGAAACCGAGGAUGCUAUAGUCCCUCCUCCUGUGAAAAUGUCUGGAUUCCUGUCGUCUGCAGCAAACCCGUGGACAGCAGACGACAAUAUUGUCAAUGACGAAAAUGUAUUACCUGAAGUAGAGCAGGUUCAAGCGACAGAAGGGUGCUUGUGUUGGCCUCUUGUUCAUUGGAUUUACAGAAUACGGUACCGACUGUUUGACAAGAAAAAGGAAAAGAAACUUCAGAAAAAAUACAAAAUCUAAGGAUUAGGAAUAUAGAGAAAUACUACGAUAUUAAAAGCAAAGACAGAAGAAUAGUUUGGCCUG